UUAGAGUUUGAUCCUGGCUCAGGAUGAACGCUAGCGGGAGGCUUAACACAUGCAAGUCGAGGGGCAGCACAAGUAUUUAUAUUUGGUGGCGACCGGCGGAUGGGUGAGUAACACGUAUGCAACCUACCAUUUACAGGAGGAUAGCCCGGAGAAAUUCGGAUUAAUACUCCAUGUAUCAAUUAGUUCGCAUGAAUUUUUUGAUAAAGUUUUCAACGGUAUUUGAUGGGCAUGCGUCCCAUUAGCUAGUUGGUAAGGUAACGGCUUACCAAGGCGAUGAUGGGUACGGGGUCUUAAAGGAUGAUCCCGCACACUGGCACUGAGACACGGGCCAGACUCCUACGGGAGGCAGCAGUGAGGAAUAUUGGUCAAUGGGGGGAACCCUGAACCAGCCAUCCCGCGUGCAGGAAGACAGUUCUAGUAAUUGUAAACUGCUUUUAUUAAAGAAGAAUAAGUUUGACUUGUCAAAUGAUGACAGUAUUUAAUGAAUAAGCAUCGGCUAACUCCGUGCCAGCAGCCGCGGUAAUACGGAGGAUGCAAGCGUUAUCCGGAUUUAUUAGGUUUAAAGGGUGUGUAGGCGGGAUAAUAAGUCAGUGGUGAAAGUUUUCAGCUUAACUGGAAAAUUGCCAUUGAAACUGUUUUUCUUGAGUUUGGAUGAGGUAUGCGGAAUGUGUAAUGUAGCGGUGAAAUGCUUAGAUAUUACCCAGAACCCCUAUUGCGAAGGCAGCAUGCUAAUCCAUAACUGACGCUGAUGCACGAAAGCGUGGGGAUCAAACAGGAUUAGAUACCCUGGUAGUCCACGCCGUAA
rnacentral:rRNA from 1 species